rnacentral:misc_RNA from 1 species
UACGUAGGGUGCAAGCGUUAUCCGGAUUUACUGGGCGUAAAGAGUAUCGUAGGCGGUUUGACAAGUGAUUGGUGAAAGCCCCGGGCUCAACCCGGGAACUGCCAGUCAUACUGUUAGGCUAGAGUAACUUCGGAAAGAUUGGAAUUCUCGGUGUAGGGGUGAAAUCCGUUGAUAUCGAGAAGAACACCAAGGGCGAAGGCAGAUCUUUAGGAGUUUACUGACGCUGAUGAACGAAAGCUUGGGUAGCAAAAGGG